rnacentral:rRNA from 1 species
AACGAACGCUGGCGGCAUGCCUAACACAUGCAAGUCGAACGAUACCUUCGGGUCUAGCGGCGUCUGGUUGCGUACGGCGUGGGAACCUGCCCUUAGGCUCGGAAUAACUCCCCGUAAGGGGUGCUAAUACCGGAUAAUGUCUUCCGACCAAUGACGUCCCGGCUUGGGAUGGGCGCGCGUUGGAUUAGCUGGGUGGUAGGGUAAAAGCAUGCCAAGGCUACGAGCCGUGGCUGGUCUGAGAGGAGGAGCAGCCACGCUGGGACUGCGACACGGCCCCGACUCGUACGGGGGGGAGCAGUGUAGUGUAUUAGACGAGGGGCGAUAGCGUGAUCAAGCCGUGCGGGGUGAGAGAUGCAGCGCUUAGGGUUGUAAAGCUAGUUUGGCAGGGACGAUAAUGACGGUACCGGGAGAAUAAGCGCCGGCUAACUACGUG